rnacentral:tRNA from 1 species
GCUGGUUUGGCUCAGUAGAUAGAGCAUUAGCCUGUGGACCGAAGGGCCCCGGGUUCAAUUCCCGGUCACGGGCA